CUACGGGGCGCAGCAGUGGGGAAUAUUGCACAAUGGAGGAAACUCUGAUGCAGCAACGCCGCGUGGAGGAUGACACUUUUCGGAGCGUAAACUCCUUUUAUAUAGGAAGAAGAUGACGGUACUAUAUGAAUAAGCGCCGGCUAACUCCGUGCCAGCAGCCGCGGUAAUACGGAGGGCGCAAGCGUUACUCGGAAUCACUGGGCGUAAAGAGCGUGUAGGCGGAUUAAAAAGUCAGAAGUGAAAUCCUAUAGCUUAACUAUAGAACUGCUUCUGAAACUCUUAAUCUAGAAUAUGGGAGAGGUAGAUGGAAUUUCUGGUGUAGGGGUAAAAUCUGUAGAGAUCAGAAGGAAUACCGAUUGCGAAGGCGAUCUACUAGAACACUAUUGACGCUGAGACGCGAAAGCGUGGGGAGCAAACAGGAUUAGAUACCCUCGUAGUC
rnacentral:rRNA from 1 species